rnacentral:sRNA from 1 species
GUGAGUGAGUCAUUGGUCUGGUUCAAGACCUCUGGCUUCUGCUGGGCCCUCAAUGGGAUUCCUCUUGGAUUUCCUGCUUCCUUCCUCGCUGCUCCAUGUGCGUGCUUUCCAAAACUGUGCAGGGUCAAAGAGGAUGACCUUUCCCAAACAGAGGAGUGCCUGUCUUCCAUCAAGGCUGUGUUCCCCUGCUAGAACCUCCAAAUAAGCUCUCAAGUAUAGAUAUUUUUAAAGAAUGUCACACUUGGGAGGCAUCUGAGGAUAGAUCUCUAACGACAACAAAGAAAGUGGCUGCAGAUUUU